rnacentral:sRNA from 1 species
AUCGCUUCUCGGCCUUUUGGCUAAGAUCAAGUGUCAAAGUACAAUUUAUUUUCCUAUUUAUUAAAACAAUAAAACAAAU